AAUCCCAAGCGGAGCUGCCACGGUUAAAACCCCAAAACCCCUCCGAUGAGUCCCUUCUCGUUCCCGUUUCAUGUGAUUUUUUGAUCAUUCUGUUCAUCAUCCUUUUCUGUGCAGGGUAGCUAAAGAAAGAACUUUAGCAGGGAAGGAGGAUCGGCAGAGCCGCCGCACCUGGAGAUCCCUCUGCCGGUAAAUUUGAUUUUUUUUUGUGAC
rnacentral:lncRNA from 1 species